rnacentral:rRNA from 1 species
AGCAUAGAGGACACACCUGUAUCCAUGCCGAACACAGUCGUUAAGCUCUAUUACGCCGAAGAUAGUUGGGAGAGUCUUCCUGCGAGAAUAGGUCGUUGCCAUGC